AGAAAGGGGAACAGAACUUGAAUCCAAUUGCCAGCAAGCCUGGUGGAAAGAAUGGUAAACAGGGGUCUCAGUUUUCAGAUCCAACCAAAGAAGAAUAUAUACAUGUUCGUGCUCGAAGAGGCCAGGCAACAAAUAGCCAUAGUCUUGCAGAAAGAAUAAGGAGGGAGAAAAUCAGUGAACGGAUGAAGUAUCUUCAGGAUCUUGUGCCUGGUUGCAACAAGGUCACCGGCAAAGCUGUGAUGCUGGAUGAAAUCAUUAACUAUGUACAGUCUUU
rnacentral:misc_RNA from 1 species